CGCUUGACGCCGCGUGUGCGAUGAAGGUCUUCGGAUCGUAAAGCACUGUCGCGAGGGAAAAAGCCAGUGAUGGUNACCUCGAAAGGAAGCACCGGCUAACUCUGUGCCAGCAGCCGCGGUAAUACAGAGGGUGCGAGCGUUGUUCGGAAUUAUUGGGCGUAAAGCGCAUGUAGGCGGCCCGACAAGUCGCAUGUGAAAGCUCCAGGCUCAACCUGGAAAGUGCGCGCGAAACUGUCGGACUUGAGUGCCGGAGAGGGUGGCGGAAUUCCCGGUGUAGAGGUGAAAUUCGUAGAUAUCGGGAGGAACACCAGAGGCGAAGGCGGCCACCUGGACGGACACUGACGCUGAGACGCGAAAGCGUGGGUAGCAAACAGGAUUAGAUACCCUGGUAGUCCACGCCGUAAACGAUGGAUGCUAGCUGUGGCGGGCAUUAACCCCUGCCGUGGCGACGCUAACGCAAUAAGCAUCCCGCCUGGGAAGUACGGCCGCAAGGCUCAAACUCAAAGGAAUUGACGGGGGCCCGCACAAGCGGUGGAGCAUGUGGUUUAAUUCGACGCAACGCGCAGAACCUUACCCAGACUUGACAUCCCGGGAACCCCGCAGAGAUGUGGGGGUGUCCGAAGGAAACCGGAGACGGUGCUGCAUGGUGUCGUCAGCCGUGUCGUGGAUGUGGGUUAGUCC
rnacentral:rRNA from 1 species